ensembl:snRNA U6 U6 spliceosomal RNA
GUGCUCGCUUCGGCAGCACAUGUACUAAAAUUGGAGUGAUACAGAGAAGAUUAGCUGUGGCCCCUGCGCAAGGAUGACACGCAAGUUCGUGAAGCGUUCCAUAUUUAA